AGCAUGAUUCUUCUAAUUUUAGUGUACUCUUCUGAGAGAAAUGGGAUUGGGGGUAAGGAAAAGUUUCAGACAAUAUGGAGGUAAGUAAAUGACAAAAAGGUUAAUAACAGAUUCCAAUUUACUAUGGCUUAACCCUCAAGUCUAGUUUCUCAUUCCAGUCUAUUUCACCUCAGACUACUAGCUCUCUUGACCUCAUUAAUAGAAUCAUGAAUUUUUAAAGCUCAAAGGUACAUGAUACAUUAUCUAGUCCUCAUAGGAUAACAGAAUUUGGGGAGCCUGACACUAGAGAUCAUCUCAUCUGUAAGGGGUAAAAGUAGGGGGUUUUGACUAAUAUAUUAUCCUUAUGGUCGCCAGGGAUUAAUUCAAAACCCAAUAAAAAUACUUAAGUCAGUUUGGGAAUUUUAUUG
rnacentral:lncRNA from 1 species